CCUACGGGGGGUAGCAGUGGGGAAUAUUGCACAAUGGGGGAAACCCUGAUGCAGCGACGCCGCGUGAGUGAAGAAGUAUUUCGGUACGUAAAGCUCUAUCAGCAGGGAAGAAAAUGACGGUACCUGACUAAGAAGCCCCGGCUAACUACGUGCCAGCAGCCGCGGUAAUACGUAGGGGGCAAGCGUUAUCCGGAUUUACUGGGUGUAAAGGGAGCGUAGACGGCAGCGCAAGUCUGGAGUGAAAUCCCAUGGCUUAACCAUGGAACUGCUUUGGAAACUGUGCAGCUAGAGUGCAGGAGAGGUAAGCGGAAUUCCUAGUGUAGCGGUGAAAUGCGUAGAUAUUAGGAGGAACACCAGUGGCGAAGGCGGCUUACUGGACUGUAACUGACGUUGAGGCUCGAAAGCGUGGGGAGCAAACAGGAUUAGAUACCCGAGUAGUC
rnacentral:rRNA from 1 species